CUAAGCAAGUGACCUCAUUCAGUUCCUGAAGGAAAUGACCUCACCUCACUUCCUUGGUGAUGGAACUCUCUGAACUUGGGAUCCAGGAAGCCAGGCACCCAGAGCCAGUCCCAGUCCCAGUCCCAGUGGGCUCACUUGUUUGGAUUUACCAAGGACAGAGUCAGUCUUUCUUGGUACCUACUGAUGUGAGGAUGGCCAAAUGCCAGGAAAGCUCUGAAGAGGGGAGUUUCCUGAGAAAGCAGCCUAUUCAGCACAUGUAUUUUUACAUGCACAUAUAGAAUCCUACCUGGUAUCCCGCAUACAUUCUUGUGAGGUGGCUGACUUGGCAGAUACAAAUUUAGAGAAGAGAUCACUCCUCCUAAAUGCUGUUGAAACUGAAAAUUCAACCUAUGGCCUAUUCAGCACAUGUAUUUUUACAUGCACAUAUACAAUUCUACCUGAUAUCCCACGUACAUUCUUGUGAGGUGGCUGACUUUGCAGAUACAAAUUGUGAGAAGAGAUCACUCCUCCUAAAUGCUGUUGGAACUGAAAAUUCAACCUAUGGUACUGAAAACGAACUUCAGUGAAUGGUUCAUAGAAAUCCUAAUAUUUCUAAAGGAACGGACCCAGUUUAGCAUCAAUGCUAUUCAGCACAUGUAUUUUUACAUGCACAUUUAGAAUUCUACCUGGUAUCCCAAGUACAUUCUUGUGAGGUUGCUGUCUUGGCAGAUACAAAUUGUGAGAAGAGAUCACUCCUCCUAAACGCUGUUGGAACUGAAAAUUCAACCUAUGGGUGACCUUUCUACUUGAACAACGUGAUACAUAAAUCCAUGUUCAGUAAAAUAAAUAUUUUUGGAUCUGUGGAUGAUA